GGAGGUGGGGGUGGUAUGGCUGUGCCAUCUGUCACCCCACUGAUUGCUAGGGUUGAUUCAGCCCAUCUGGGUGGCUAGGUGGAUGUCCCAUUCAUACCUCACUUCUCCUGUGCGUUGGAGGCUGUGUGCUUGGUUGAGAUGAUGACCCACCUCAUAAGGAGGAGGAUCAUCCUUUGGUCAAGGGUGUACAAGUAACUGAAUUCCCUUGCUACAAUCUCCAAACAAGCCUCAAAUGGAGGUAAGGUAAUACAGGCAAGGAGGGGCCAAGGUAAAGCUAAAGGUUUGCCUUUUU
rnacentral:snRNA from 1 species